rnacentral:rRNA from 1 species
CAAAGGAAUUGACGGGGCCCGCACAAGCGGUGGAGUAUGUUGGUUUAAUUCGAUGCAACGCGAAGAACCUUACCUGGUCUUGACAUCCGGAGACCCUUAGGAAACUAGGGGUGCUUCCAUCUGGAAGAAUCUGGAGACAGGUGCUGCAUGGCUGUCGUCAGCUCGUGUCGUGAGAUGUUGGGUUAAGUCCCGCAACGAGCGCAACCCUUGCCUUUAGUUGCCAGCAGUUCGGCUGGGCACUCUAAAGGGACUGCCGGUGUUAAACCGGAGGAAGGUGGGGAUGACGUCAAGUCCUCAUGGCCUUUAUGACCAGGGCUACACACGUACUACAAUGGCCGAUACAAAGGGCAGCGACACUGCGAGGUGAAGCCAAUCCCGUAAAAUCGGUCUCAGUCCGGAUUGGAGUCUGCAACUCGACUCCAUGAAGUUGGAAUCGCUAGUAAUCGUGGAUCAGCAUGCCACGGUGAAUACGUUCCCGGGCCUU